UACGUAGGGUGCGAGCGUUGUCCGGAAUUACUGGGCGUAAAGAGCUCGUAGGUGGUUUGUCGCGUUGUUCGUGAAAACUCACAGCUCAACUGUGGGCGUGCGGGCGAUACGGGCAGACUGGAGUACUGCAGGGGGAGACUGGAAUUCCUGGUGUAGCGGUGGAAUGCGCAGAUAUCAGGAGGAACACCGGUGGCGAAGGCGGGUCUCUGGGCAGUAACUGACGCUGAGGAGCGAAAGCGUGGGGAGCGAACAGG
rnacentral:rRNA from 1 species